rnacentral:lncRNA from 13 species
CACAGACGUGGUGGCCUAGCAGGAAGAUCGGAAUGCUGAACCAAGAGGUUGUGGAGUUCAAAUACCAUCAUAUGGUGAGGUUGCUUUCAGGUCAGAGUCGGGUUCACGGCGGCACUACCCUGCUGGGGUGGAAUGUUUAGAGUGAAUCCACAUUAGUUAUUUUUCUACCUCCUCUCGGGGUGAGGCAGCUGUCCAUCAUGUACACCUCUGUGUGGCUGGGCUCAAGGGUCACGGUAGCCCCUGGUAUUUUUCAAGACAUCAAGGCUAUCAAGAAGUGGAGCAGCCACUUACUCAAGACCAUGUUGUCCUGCUGUCGGGUCCCGCAGAACCUCACACAAGGGCACAAAGACAGUUGCCGAGUGAAGAGUUCCAGGGCAGUAAGCAGCAGUGACAAAUUGGUGGCCAUUUUAGGUCACAGGCAACCCGCUCCCCCCAUUAUUCAUCAGAGCCCACUGUGAUGGAACUAAUAAAGCCAGCUUGUUGCUGUGGCCACAAACACAUGUUUUUGCUCUCCUGCCGAUCCAUUUCGCUCUUUCAAUAUACCCAUUAAUGAGCAAUCUGUGGGUGUUGCCUUGUUCUUUUAGGCAACGAGGCACGUUUAUUUUCCAACUGUUGGCAUAGUCAUGUUUGAACACUGGCUCCAGGAAACACAGUCAUUAUUAUUAAAUGCAAUGUUGUUCUGUGCUGUCUUGGGCUGACAUUAUGGGGCUGAGAGAACUCCUGCUAGCUAUGGGUGUGUGUCCACUGUCGUAGCGUUGACUAUCAGUAAAUGUGAAGACUUAUGUUUAUCAAGUCAAUUCUCUAUGUGUAAUUAUUCCAUGAUUAAAACGAAUCACGG